rnacentral:lncRNA from 1 species
CUAUUUCUUAGGCAUUCCUUAAACAUUGAACUUGUGAGAGGUCAAAACAAGUUCUAUGCAUGAUUAAAUACUUCUAUCAGGUCUAAUAGCACAUAUAUAUCAUUUAUGACUUGUGGGAACAAUCGGAAUGAUAUUCUAAUAAAAAUUGAAUCUUGUUUAAGCCCACUUUAGUUAUUUGUGCAUAUUCAAGACUUAUGAAUAAUUAACAUGAAAGGAAUGUAAUGCUAUUAUGAAACCAACACUUUAAGCAAGUCAUUAUACAUAAAUAAGAUAUGUGUGAAUAUUCAAACAACUCAAAG